rnacentral:rRNA from 1 species
GCCGCAGUAUUUUGACUGUGCGAAGGUAGCAUAAUAGAUUGUCUUUUAAAUGGAGGCUGGAAUGAAUGGUUGGACAAAGUAUCUUCUGUUUCUUAAAUAAAUGUUGAAUUUGACUUUUAAGUGAAAAGGCUUAAAUAAAUCGAAAAGACGAUAAGACCCUGUAAAUCUUUACAAGAAGUAUGUUUAAAAUUUUAGGUUGGAUGUAAUAAAAUGUAAAAUAUAAUUUUGUUGCGCUGGGGUGGCGUAGAUAUAAAAGAAAACUGUUUAUAAAAUAUAAACAACUAUUGUUGUUUAGUAAGAAUGAUCCUUUUAAGAUUAAAAGAUUAAGAUACUUCAGGGAUAACAGCGUUAUUUUUUCUGAGAGUUCUUAUCGAAGAAAAAGUUUGCGACCUCGAUGUUGAAUUAAAGUUUCUUUGGGGUGUAGAAGCUGCAAGAGAGAGUCUGUUCGACUUUUAA